rnacentral:rRNA from 1 species
CCUACGGGCGGCAGCAGUGGGGAAUAUUGGGCAAUGGGCGCAAGUCUGACCCAGCAACGCCGCGUGAAGGAAGACGGCUCUCGGGUUGUAAACCUCUUUUCUCAGGGACGAAGCAAGUGACGGUACCUGAGGAAUAAGCCACUGCUAACUAAGUGCCAGCAGGCGCGGUCAUACGUAGGUGGCAAGCGUUAGCGGGAUUUACUGGGUGUAAAGGGCGUGUAGGCGGGAAAGCAAGUCAGAUGUGAAAACCAUGGGCUCAACCUGUGGACUGCAGUUGAAACUGUUUUUCUUGAGUGCUGGAGAGGCAGACGGAAUUCCUGGUGUAGCGGUGAAAUGCGUAGAUAUUAGGAAGAACACCAGUGGCGAAGGCGAUCUGCUGGACAGCAACUGACGCUGAGGCGCGAAAGCGUGGGGAGCAAACAGGAUUAGAUACCCCAGUAGUC